CGGAGGGUGCAAGCGUUAUCCGGAUUCACUGGGUUUAAAGGGUGCGUAGGAGGGCGGAUAAGUCAGUGGUGAAAUCUUCGAGCUUAACUCGGAAACUGCCGUUGAUACUAUUUGUCUUGAAUAUCGUGGAGGUGAGCGGAAUAUGUCAUGUAGCGGUGAAAUGCUUAGAUAUGACAUAGAACACCAAUUGCGAAGGCAGCUCGCUACACGAAUAUUGACUCUGAGGCACGAAAGCGUGGGGAUCAAACAGGAUUAGAUACCCUGGUAGUCCACGCCCUAAACUAUGGAUACUCGACAUACGCGAUACACUGUGUGUGUCUGAGCGAAAGCAUUAAGUAUCCCACCUGGGAAGUACGACCGCAAGGUUG
rnacentral:rRNA from 1 species